UCGGUGGACAGGUGGUGCAUGGGUUGUCGUCAGCUCGUGUCGUGAGAUGUUGGUUAAGUCCCGCAACGAGCGCAACCCUCGUCCUAUGUUGCCAGCGGGUCAUGCCGGGGACUCAUGGGAGACUGCCGGGGUCAACUCGGAGGAAGGUGGGAUGACGUCAAAUCAUCAUGCCCCUUAUGUCUUGGGCUUCACGCAUGCUACAAUGGCCGGUACAAAGGGCUGCGAUACCGCGAGGUGGAGCGAAUCCCAGAAAGCCGGUCUCAGUUCGGAUUGGGGUCUGCAACUCGACCCCAUGAAGUCGGAGUCGCUAGUAAUCGCAGAUCAGCAACGCUGCGGUCGAAUACGUUCCGGCCUU
rnacentral:rRNA from 1 species